rnacentral:pre_miRNA from 1 species
UGGGACUUUGUAGGGCCAGUUGAGAGAGGGGAACAGACCUCACCUCGCCCGCAAAGACCCAGC